UAAAUGUAAAUGUAAAUGUAUAUUUGUGUUUUUCUGCUUGUUAACGCCUCCAAAGCUGAAGCGAAACAAAUGCAACGGCGGUGUCAACCACGCAAGGCGACAGCCAGCUUGUCGGGAGCAGUUAGGGUACGAUUGAACCGGCCCCCUUCUGAUAGCCGGUCAACCCGCUCUACCUCCUGAGCCAAGGCCGAAACAAAAGCUGAGCACUGGUAGCUGCAUCAGAUGAAUCCUCCUUACCGUUCUCCUGGGGCCCACUCCUCUCACCGGGCUGUGGCGUCCCAGAGGGCUGUGUGGGUACGGCCUUGACCUCACGGCCUCUAGCGACCGCAGCCGACGGACCCAGGGAGAAAGCAGACUGGACGGGGCACGCCCCAGAGGAAGCGCUGUCCGGGCUCUGGGUGUAAUCCCAACGUGUUGUUGUCUUGCAGAGAGGACAAUCAUCCUGGUAAUUAUAGCACUCACACUUGGUGCAGCCAACACCGCUCCGAGAAUAUCUGCUGCUGUCGUCACUUUCCUGGUGGAAAGUACAGAAACAAACAAGAUUGAGUCCCCCCUCCCCUACCGGGACAUAACCAGAUGAAAGGACCGGGCCGGCUGCGUGCGGCCCCCCAGGGAAGCUCCUCCCGAGGCCGGGCCAGGCCGGGCUGGGCGUCUUGGAGGGCGGCUCGCAGCUCACCAGCUUGUAGUACUUCUGAUUGGUCCCCAUGGCGAGCGUCAGCCGGCCCUGGAGGCAGGCGGUGAGGUCCGACAGCUCCAGAGAGGACCAGGGCUCUAGUGAGUACAGGUUACAAUUGGAGUCCAGCGCCUGAGGGGACCAGCAUGGGGCCGAGGGCACCACCGCCUCCACCACCACCUCCCGCUGCUCCGGUGGGGAGGGGGCCUCAUGCUCGGGCCGACGGCUCGGGGGAGCACGGUCGGACCGGCUGGAGGUUCAGGAAGACCGAGCCGUCGUGGAGGGGCGCGGGCUGCGGGGGGGCGGGGCAGCCCCCCGGGUCCUGGGGCGUGGCGGGGUUGUUGCUCUUGCUGUAGAUGGUGCAGAAGUUGACCAGGACGCCGUCGGAGCUGUUGCACGACGAGUCGCUGGCGGACUCGGUGGGAUUAACGGGGGAAUGAGUCCCCACGUCUGAGCUGGCCGAAGUUGAAACCGGUUUUACUGUUCAAGUCUUGGACACGGGUGUAUGAAGAGAGUGCGGCCGAUUCUGUGACUCCCGGUUGAUCUGUCGGAGGUGAAUCUAGACGUCCUGUUUGGCUAGGGAGUCGAUCAGCGCUGCUCUCUGUAGCCGACACGAGCGGCCUCUUCCCCUGCGCGCUGCCUGAGUGUCUGAUGCCGUGGCUCACCGCCCAGUUGAAAUUGCCAUGCAACACGAAGGAGGAGUCCUCGCAGUAUCUGUGUAGAUUAUCCCCAUCGCCGUCCUCCUCUUCCUCCUCCUCCUCUUCAUCCAGCGAGGAAGGAAGGAACACGUUGCGGGACCUGGGUCGGGCUGCGGACGUGGGCUGGCCGCCGCCGGGCUUCGGCACCUGCGGCGGCCCCUCCUCCACAGAGCAGCUGGAGUCCAACCUACCGCUGCUGUCGCUGGCUUCCUCCUCCUCCUCUUCCUCCUCCUCCUCCUCCUCCUCCUCCGCCCGGUCCUCUUUGAGACUCCAGUAGCUGCAGGAGUCGAGUCGCUUCUGUUUGCCCGGGGCGACGGGCAGCUCUCUGCGGAGGACGUCCUGCUCGGGCAGGGAGACGGCCCGGAUCAGCUGACCCGCGGAGCACGCGCCGGGCCGCCCGGGGGGCGACGGCCCUGGGGGGCACAGGGUCUGGACCGGGGGCUGCCAGGCGGGGAGCUGCACCCGGGGGGUAGCGGUAGGAGAGCCAGGUGUCUCCCGAGAAACUAGACGUCCGGAUCAUCCUCUCUGCGGGACUCUGGCUUCAUGGUCUGAUGGAGACCCCUGGAGCCGGGAGGAGAUAGCUCAUAAACAGCAGAACACAGGAGGCUCAUGACGUAUCUGUAGGCUCACAUUUAAAGUACCAACCAUAAUCAUGAUUCCUUCCUCAUUUGCCACAUUGAAGCGUUUAAGUGCUUAGCAGGUACCAUUCCAUGCAAUGCAUUAUUCAGCCUUCUAAAGGGGAUUUGUAUUUGAAUAACGAAGCAGAGAUUUAUAAAAGGCACCGUGAGUAGCCUGUUUCCCCCAUGCAUCAUGCAGAAGCGCAGGCUUCUCCUCUAGUCUGUAGUCCUGUUGUCUGCUCCCAGGGUUCCGUCUGUCCUAUCUGCCAUGAUUCAGUGAACCUUCCCCCUCUCUCUACCUAGGCCCAACACACACUCACACACACACACACACACACACACACACACACACACACACACACACAC
ensembl:lncRNA